GCCUGGGUGGCUCAGUCGGUUGAGCGUCCGACUUCAGCUUGGGUCAUGAUCUCACGGCUCGUGGGUUCGAGCCCCGCGUCGGGCU
rnacentral:tRNA from 1 species